UUCCUGUAUUUACGGUUCAGAAGGGCAGC
rnacentral:piRNA from 1 species